rnacentral:rRNA from 1 species
AUGGAGAUCUAUUCCAAGGAAGAGGAGUUCUGGUGCCAGCGAGGAUCUUUCAAUUGGGUGCUUUUCGGUGAUGCCAACAUGGUCUACUUCCAGGCCAUCGCUAAUGGUCGUCGGAGACGCUGUUCCAUCCCACUCCUUUGGGAGGGAGGACAGCUCUUCCAGGACCCCCCAGCAAUCCGCUCUCUGGUGGACGACUUCUACAAGUCAUUAUUUGCGAGGCGUGUUAGGGGCGGAGUCGCCCUUGCGGACCACAUAUGGUCGGCCGGCUAG